rnacentral:rRNA from 1 species
AGAAUCAACGCUGGCGGCGUGCCUAACACAUGCAAGUCGAACGAGAAAGUGGAGCAAUCCAUGAGUACAGUGGCGCACGGGUGAGUAACACGUGACUAACCUACCCUUGAGUGGGGGAUAACCUAGAGAAAUCUGGGCUAAUACCGCAUAAUACCUUUGGGUCAAAGGAGCAAUUCGCUUAAGGAGGGGUCGCGGCCGAUUAGUUAGUUGGCGGGGUAAUGGCCCACCAAGACUAUGAUCGGUA